GUAGCAAUAUCCUGAGUAAACCGGCGAACGGGUGAGUAACACGUAGGCAACUUACCUUGUGAACGGGGAUAACCCCGCGAAAGCGGAGCUAAUACCCGAUGACGUUUUCUUGAAGCAUUUUGAGAAAACCAAAGGCCCGCAAGGGCGUCACAAGAUGGGCCUGCGUCCCAUUAGAUAGUUGGCGGGGUAAUGGCCCACCAAGUCGACGAUGGGUAGCUGGUCUGAGAGGACGACCAGCCACACUGGAACUGAGACACGGUCCAGACUUCUACGGAAGGCAGCAGUGAGGAAUCUUGCUCAAUGGGCGAAAGCCUGAAGCAGCGACGCCGCGUGAAGGAUGAAAUCCGUUAGGAUGUAAACUUCUUUUGCAGGGGAUGAAAAUCCCGAUUUAUCGGGACUGACCGUACCCUGCGAAUAAGCACCGGCCAACUACGUG
rnacentral:rRNA from 1 species